AACGAACGCUGGCGGCACGUUUUAAGCAUGCAAGUCGAAUGGCAGCAGGGGCAACUCUGUGAGAAUGGCGAACGGGUGAGUAACACGUAGGUGAUCUGCCUUGAGGAUGGGGAUAGCCUGUGGAAACACAGGGUAAUACCGAAUGAGCUGACGAGACUUUGGUUUUGUUAGUAUAGGUGCUACGGCACCGCCUUGAGAGGAGCCUGCGGCUGAUUAGCUAGUUGGUGGGGUAAGAGCUUACCAAGGCGACGAUCAGUAGCCGGCCUGAGAGGGUGUACGGCCACACUGGAACUGAGACACGGUCCAGAAUCCUACGGGAGGAAGCAGCUAAGAAUCUUCCGCAAUGGGCGAAAGCCUGACGGAGCGAUGCCGCGUGAUCGAUGAAGGUCGAGAGAUUGUAAAGAUCUUUUCUACAUGAGGAAUAAGUCUGGGAGGGAAUGCCCGGAUGAUGACGUUAGUGUAGGAAUAAGCCCCGGCUAAUUACGUGCCAGCCGCCGCCGUAA
rnacentral:rRNA from 1 species